CUUGGAAGAACGAGGUCGAUGCUCCGCUCCCAGAUGUCCGCUCUGCUCUGGGCUGGACGCCAAGGCCUCAGCCACUGCAGGGACCUGAGCACAACCUGUCACCUCCUCCUCGAAUAUUUUCUCUUCCUGCCGCCACCAGCGUCCUGCUUGCUGUGACACAAGACGUGCAGAUUCCCGUCUCGGCAACAGGGCUGGGGAUGGGGGCUUGGCCCCAGGUCAGGGGUUCCAAUACAUCAGCCGACUCAAGGCCCUUUACGUCAAUUGGCGGUCUUCUGGGACCACCCUGGGUAGCACAGCCCUAAGCUGCUGGGUCUCAACAGCUCCCGGCACUAUCGCCUCCUCACAGAAUCCCCUCUGCCCCCUCAGCCCCUCCACUGAGACAGGAGUGGAGUGAGGAAGGGCCCUGCUGCCGGCUCCCCAGAGCCUGGCACUUAGCAGGGCUCAAUAAAUAUCUGCUGACUGAGU
ensembl:lncRNA